AACGAACGCUGGCGGCAGGCUUAACACAUGCAAGUCGAACGCCCCGCAAGGGGAGUGGCAGACGGGUGAGUAACGCGUGGGAAUCUACCCAGAUCUACGGAACAACAGUUGGAAACGACUGCUAAUACCGUAUACGCCCUACGGGGGAAAGAUUUAUCGGAUUUGGAUGAGCCCGCGUUGGAUUAGCUAGUUGGUGGGGUAAUGGCCUACCAAGGCGACGAUCCAUAGCUGGUCUGAGAGGAUGAUCAGCCACACUGGGACUGAGACACGGCCCAGACUCCUACGGGAGGCAGCAGUGGGGAAUAUUGGACAAUGGGCGCAAGCCUGAUCCAGCCAUGCCGCGUGAGUGAUGAAGGCCUUAGGGUUGUAAAGCUCUUUCACCGAUGAAGAUAAUGACGGUAGUCGGAGAAGAAGCCCCGGCUAACUUCGUGCCAGCCGCCGCCGUAAUAC
rnacentral:rRNA from 1 species